rnacentral:lncRNA from 1 species
UACAGAGAUAGCUUGGAGGGCGAACAUUCUACUAUGUUGUACCAUUAUUUUAGGAUAAUUGACUACAUGAAGUCCACUAUGUAGCGUCUGUAAUUUUUAGUGUAUACGUAUCUUUAUUGUCUUGUUAUGAGUGUAAACUUUAUAUGUAUCUUUAGUGAUUGUUAUGAAUGUUGAGUGGUGUAAUUUUCAUGUGAAUUAUUUUUAUCUUUAUGAAUGGUGUAAAUUAUGAAUAUUGAUCAAGUUCUUUAUCUAAUACAAAAACCUAUAUCCAUUUCUUGUGUAAUAAUUCAUUUAUCUAAUGUUUUUUGCAAGGACUAAAUAUUAUAAUCACAUUAAUUCUAUUUUUUCCCUACCUAAUAUUGAUCAAGUUCUUUAUUUAAUACGAAGACUUAUGUCCAUUUCUCACGUAAUACGAUUUAGAUGGACCGGCAAUGGAUGUAUA